rnacentral:rRNA from 1 species
GCCGUUCUCAGUUCGGAUCGGAGUCUGCAACCCGACUCCGUGAAGCUGGAUUCGCUAGUAAUCGCGCAUCAGCCAUGGCGCGGUGAAUACGUUCCCGGGCCUUGUACACACCGCCCGUCAAGCCAUGGGAGCCGGGGGUGCUUGAAGUGCGUCGCCGCAAGGCGCGCCCUAGAGCAAAACCGGUGACUGGGGCUAAGUCGUAACAAGGUAGC